UUCGUAACACUGGUCGCCUCUGCCAUCGUUGACCAUUUCAAGGCAAAUGCACACUCAAGUUAUAUAUACUCAAGUCAGUUUAGAUUUUAUUAUUACCUGCACUUGUGAUAGAUCUGCUGAGGAUAAGGACCUAUCUAGAAAAAUUUUUUUUGUACAUCACAGACGGUGUAGAACGCGCACACUCCGUGAUAAUUGACUCACACAAAAUC
rnacentral:lncRNA from 1 species